rnacentral:rRNA from 1 species
UACGAGAGGCGCAAACGUUAUUCGGAUUUACUGGGCUUAAAGAGUUCGUAGGCGGCGCAGAAAGUAGGGUGUGAAAGCCCUCGGCUCAACCGAGGGAUUGCGCUCUAAACUACUGUGCUUGAGGGACCUAGAGGUGAGCGGAACUGAUGGUGGAGCGGUGAAAUGCGUUGAUAUCAUCAGGAACACCGGAGGCGAAGGCGGCUCACUGGGGGUCUUCUGACGCUGAGGAACGAAAGCCAGGGGAGCGAACGGG